ACUCUGGGUGUAUCAGUAUUUAACAAUGUACAAUAGUACUGCAAGCUUUUCAGUUCCUUUGUCUUAUCAAUUGGUACCUGAAUCAUGAAGCUGGUCCCGACUUGUCUUCGGGUCGAGAAAAACUUGCCUGUAAUGGGGUGUAUACACCUUGUUUCUCACUCUCCGCAAUGUCCUUGCGGAUAAGUGUAUACACCUUCCAAAACAAGGUUUUCUCCAUCUAAUUAUAAUUGAAGCAGUUUUCUUUCUUGGUUAAUGAUUAGCUAAAAAUGGCAAUAGGGUACGAGCGAAUAAAAAUUUAUCAGCCAGUCAUAUUGUAACG
rnacentral:lncRNA from 1 species